GGCGGUGAGGGAUCAUUGCGGGGGCCGCGCGGGGCCGUGCGGGGGCGGUGCGGGCGGUGACCCCGGGGUGUGGCCCUCGGGAGGUACUAAAUCGUGCGGCGAGGGCCCGUUGUUUGCCGCUGGGUAGGAGCAGAGUCCUCUUGCAGCUGGAGGGCAGGCCAAGAAGAUGACGGGAAGAGCCCGAGCGAGAGCCAGGGGAAGACCUCCCAGACAGGAGGCUGCUGGACCUAUGGCAGGAGAUCCAGCUGUCGCACAGGAUCUGCCAGGUCAGCUGGGUGAGGCUCGGCAGCCCCAGCGGGUCGAUGUUCCUUCGCAACCAUCGGGAGAACCCGGAGGCCACGGACGACUGAGGGGCUUGGAGAGUGUUCAGCGGGAGAGAAGGCCAGAAGGAUUACGGGUUUCCUCGGGACUCCAGGAUUUGUGUUUACGAGAGAGGGGUGGACAUCGGAGGGAUUACCAUGACCUGGGGGUCAAUACUCGACAAACCAUGGUGCAUGUGCGAGAAUCAAAAACUGGUGCGUCAGGUAGAAUGAUAAAAUUAACUUCCAAUCACUUCCGUUUGACGUCUCGACCCCAGUGGGCUUUGUACCAGUACCACGUUGGCUACAGCCCCGAGAUGGAGUCGCGCCGCCUUCGCUCCGCUCUGCUCUUCCAGCACGAAGAGCACAUUGGCAGGACCCACGCCUUCGAUGGGUCGAUAUUGUUCUUGCCACAAAAACUACGCAAUAAGGUUACUGAACUGUUUAGUAGGUCUCGAAAUGGGGAGGAUGUGAAGAUAACAAUCACUUUGACUAAUGAGUUGCCACCUACUUCACCUACAUGUCUGCAUUUUUACAACAUCAUUUUUAGAAGGCUUUUGAAGAUGCUCAAUUUGCAGCAGAUUGGCCGUAAUUAUUACAACCCUGGGGAUCCAGUCAGCAUCCCUAAUCACAGGUUGAUGGUGUGGCCAGGCUUCUCAAGUUCCAUCCUCCAGUAUGAGGAGAGCAUUAUGUUGUGUGCAGAUGUGAGCCAUAAGGUUCUUCGUGGUGAGACAGUGUUGGAUGUUAUGCACAGUCUUCAUUCCCAGGUUGGAGAGGAAAGGUUUAGAGAUGCCUGUGCUAAAGAGCUGAUUGGUUUAAUUGUUCUCACAAGGUACAAUAACAGAACAUACAGAAUUGAUGACAUCAACUGGGAUAGCAAUCCAAUGGCUACCUUUAGAAAAUCAGAUGGUGCUGAGAUCACUUUCCUGGAGUACUACAAAAAGCAAUAUAAUAUAGACAUUGGUGAUCCAAAGCAGCCUGUCUUGAUCAGUCAGCUGAAGAAGAGUAGAAAUGUGGAAGGAACUGUGGUUCUAAUUCCAGAGCUGUGCUCUCUAACAGGACUAACGGAGAAGAUGCGAACUGACUUCAACAUGAUGAAGGACUUGGCGGCUCACACCCGGCUGCCACCUGAGCAAAGGCAGUGGGAAGUUGGAAGACUUCUUAACUACAUCCAAAAAGAUGACAACGUUCAGAAGGAACUUGGAAACUGGGGUUUAAGCUUUGAUUAUAAAUCAGUGACCUUUACGGGAAGAGUUGUUCAAGGAGAAAAGAUCUUUCAAUCAGGAAACAUGGUUGAUUACAACCCUCAGUUUGCUGACUGGACAAAGGAGACCAGGGGAGUUCCCUUAAUCCGAGCUGUGCCCAUGGACAACUGGCUGUUAAUCCACACCCGGCGCAACCACGACGUUGCCAACACCUUAAUUCAGAGCCUGUACAAGGUCACCCCCUCUAUGGGGAUCAGGAUGAGCAGGCCCACCACGAUUGAAGUAGAUGACAGAACAGAAGCUUACUUAAGGGUUUUACAGCAAAGGGUUACCCCUGACACAAACAUAGUGGUUUGUAUUUUGUCCAGUUCCCGAAAAGAUAAAUAUGAUGCCAUCAAGAAAUACUUAUGCACAGAUUGCCCCAUCCCAAGUCAGUGUGUGCUCGCUCGCACUUUAAGCAAACAUCAGACAAUUAUGACUGUUGCAACAAAAAUUGCCCUGCAAAUGAACUGCAAAAUGGGUGGAGAACUUUGGAGUGUUGAGAUCCCACUGAAGCAGGUGAUGAUUGUGGGAAUUGAUUGUUACCAUGACACUGUAACUGGAAGGCAGUCAGUGGCAGGAUUUGUCUCUAGCCUGAAUCAAACAAUGACAAGGUGGUUCUCCCGCUGCGUUGUUCAAAGUCGUGGGCAAGAACUUGUGGAUGGAAUCAAAGCCUGCUUGCAAACUGCUCUAAGAAACUGGCUCAAGUGGAAUAAGUGUUUGCCCUCUCGUAUCUUUGUGUACCGUGACGGUGUUGGAGAUGGCCAGCUACAUACUCUGGUUAAUUAUGAAGUGCCUCAAUUCCUGGAUUGCUUGAAGGACAUCGGUUCUUUCUACAGGACAGUAGACUCCGACAGAAGUCGCAGCUUGGAGGAAUCGAGUCCAAGACUUACUGUGAUCGUUGUGAAGAAACGAGUGGGUGCCAGGUUCUUUGCAGAGGUUGGUGGAGGACUUAAAAACCCACCCCCUGGCACUGUUGUUGAUACAGUGAUUACCAGACCAGAGUGGUAUGAUUUCUUUGUUGUGAGCCAUACAGUGAAAAAUGGUUGUGUCACACCCACUCAUUACAAUGUCAUUUAUGAUGGCAGCCAGCUGAAACCAGAUCACUUGCAGAGGUUGACCUACAAACUCUGCCACAUGUACUAUAACUGGUCGGGUGUUAUCAGAGUACCUGCUCCUUGCCAGUAUGCUCAUAAACUGGCUUUCCUUGUUGGUCAGAGCAUUCACAGAGAACCAAAUCUGAUGCUUUCAGACAGACUUUACUAUCUUUGAAGUUGAGUUAUCAGCCUUCUUCUCCAAGGAACACAGAAUUGUCUAAGGUCACUUGAGAAGGACCUUGUGCAGCUGCAGAAAGGUAGGAGAUGCUCACUGGGGGCUGCUCUUUCUCUUUGGUGCAGUGUUUGAAGGGGUGACUUGCACCAUGGCCAUGUGCUUGUCCUUGGCUCCCUGGGCACCAGGGAUCUGACCAGGGGUGCCAGGGCCAGGAGGGAGGGAGAGAAGGCUGGCACAGCAACCAAGCAGCUGCUACAGUAGAUUUAUGAAACGUACUGCACUCUACAAAAUAUCAAAUUAUUUAUUUAUAUAAAAUAUAAUACACAACAAUUGUACACAUGCACACACCCACACAGUACUUUACCACAACUUUAGGCCAGUUAUUUUCUUUAAUUAAAUGUUAUAAUCUAGCACACGGUAUCUUACAGUAAUUUACAUUAUUAUCUGAAGACACAAUGGGGAAGCUUUGAUCAUUCAUUUAUAAACCUUCCAUAAAUUACAAAAAGAAAGGCAGUCUGAAAAGUAUGUAUAAACAGUAAAAACAAUUUACAAAUGGACAAGAAUUACAAAAUAGUAACAGCCAAUGACUGCCAUCAGUGUGUAAGAUUGUUUGUCUUGAUAUGCCAAUAUCACAAUUAAGAUUUGAUUAGAGCCUCUUGCAGCCUCGUUACUGGCUGUGGCCUGUGACUGCAACACAGUUUGUCCUUUUUACUUUAAACAUGUACUUUAUCCUGAAUCUGACAUCAGCAAUAUGAAAAUGCCUUUUAACUUAGAACUGCACCUCCACAGAAAAAAAAUAAAUGGGGGAGUAAAGGGGUUUUGGUGUGGAGUUGGUUUGUUGUUUUGUUUGUUUGGUUUUUUUUUUUAAUUUUCCCAGUAGUUUAGAACAGUAAACCAGGAACCCCAAAACUGGAGGUUGAAUGGUUGAAAUUCUGGCUGAGGUUCUGAAUAACUUACACUGUAUCUGAUUUCAGUGGAGUGAAAAUAAGUUGACAGAAUAAACCAAUACAAGGGUCUGGUUUUUGGAGGUGGGGGGAAAUAAAGAAGCAAAAACUAAAAAAAAAAAUAAAAUAAAAAAAAAAAAGCGUUUAGCACAGCACUUUCAAACUCCCAGGAGUUACAUCAGACAGUGAAUGGAGUCAGUAACAUAGUACUUGAUCUUAAAUUACCAUGUUUUAGGGAAGAUGAAGACAGUUGAAUACACAGUACAUACAAAGUAUACGCUGUAUAUUUAUUAGACAGUACAAAUCAUUGUGCAUUAAUAAGGCAAAACAUCAAGGCUGAUUAAACUAGGAGUUUCAAGACCAUUUUUGUCAAUGAUUAGUUACAGUGGGGUGAUCUCUCUGAACUAGCAAUCAAGGAACAGAGUUUUCUCCCCACCACUCGUGGUUAAAGGAGGCUAAAAAGGCUGAGAUUUUUCCAGUGGAGUUGCAGGUGUUGAGUUGACUUCAAAUAAAACCACGUUCUUCUGCUCUUAAGCCCACAACAUUUUUUAUUUUUUAAAAAAAAGUUUUUGCAACAACAAAUCCACUUCCUUUUUUUUUUUUCUUGCUGUUUUGAUUAAGCAAUUCACAUGAUUCUAUUGAUGUCAGAGUUAAAAAUGCAGAGAGGUUUAGUAAAGUUGUACUGCAUAGUCAUGAAAGCCCUAGUUUUGACUUUAGAAAAAAAAAAAAAAUUAAAGAAAAAAAAAAUUAAAAUACACAGACUGGAAGCUUUUACAAGUUGUCCAGGAGCAGCACAUGAAUCAUUUCACUGCACCAAGCUUUUUCAGCAGUUUCUUGCCUUUGGAAAGCAGCCCCUUUUUCUUUUUCGAGGACAUAUCCCUGCCUCUCCCGGGACUACCAGAACCCAUAGGUGACGUAGGUGACCCGGAAUGGAGAUGAACUGUGGGGGAUGGUGCUCUCCGGGAUGUACCUGUAUUCUCAGGAGGAACCUAUUAGGUACAUUGUUAUAAUUUAUUGAAUGUUUGAAAGCUUCAAAGCUGUCAGCAUCAAGAAAGUUUGGUAACAUCACUUUGUCCCAUUACCCCACUUUUUAAGCAAAAGGGCUGGUUCCUUUCUUCUCUCUGGCUUAAAAUACUGCUCGGGCUUAUGGCAAAUGCAUAAAUUUAGAGGGGGGGAAAAAAUUGUAGAACAAUAGGAAACCUGCCAAUAGAGCCCUGGUUUGGUUAUACUUUUUUAAAGAAGUUGGAUACACUUGUUUUGCCAGAAUUCUGGCCACAAAAGCCACAAAACUGGCUUGGGUUUUGCAUUUCAGUACUCUGAUAGUACUAAAAUGGAGAGGGAUACUUUUAGCUAUAGAUUUAAGAAAAAUAAACGUGUUAAUUACUACAGAUUAGCAAUCUAUAGAAGCCAAACUCUUUUCAGAAGAAAUUACUUAAAAUGCUACGUGUUCACUUACUUUUUAAUGUCCUUUAAAUGCCUUUUCUUUAAAAUUGGCUAGCAAACUUUAUGUACAGAUUAGAGAAGAUGGCACACUGGCUUAAAAAAAAAAAAAAAAAAGAAAAAAAAAAGGAAAAAGAAAAAGCUAAAAUGAACCUUAAUUGCAAUCAAAGAAAGCUUAAAGACCCUGACUGCUUGAUGUAUAUGCUGCAGCCAUGAGGUUGUUAGAUGACAGCAUUCCUAAAUAUUUUGAACAGCUAAUUUUUAUUUUUCAAUCAUCAAAAGCACUUGGAUGAAAAUGCUAAAAUUGCUUAUACUCAGCCUAUCCUAACUACAGUGCCCAGCUGGCGAGAUGGGUUACUAUCAAUUAAGAUGAUAUUUUCAUAGUAGUAUCCAUGCUGGAGGGAGUCCUGUUAGCUUGGAGUUAAAACAUCAGCAAUUUACUGGCUUCUUGUGCAACAGUGAGUUAAGCAAAGGGGCUUCAAGCCGACUUUGAUUUUAAAUCAAGGUCUAAUUCUAAUGAAAAAAAAAAAAACAAAACCAAAACAACUUGGUAAAGCACCCCAACGUACACCUGAAGAUACCAUAUAUUGAGUCUAAUGCAUUCAUUCAGUGAGCUGCAUGUUUCAGGUCGAGACUUUUAUUGCAUUGGUAAACCAAACAGUUGCUAACAUUUCAAAUGUCCACUUUCCAGGACAAAAAUCCCAGUCAAUUGUGCCGUGGGAAGGGAUUGUUUUCGGGAGCGUUGAAUGGUUGGUCUUAGGCAGGCUGGGGUAUAAUCGAUUGUGGAAAACACAUCUUAAGGCAGACAAUUUAAGUAGCUCAGUUUGAGUGUAAUGAGUUUCAAAACCAACUAUACCCUUGUAAACUACCGUGUGCAUCAGCUUAGGCUGCACUUGGAUGUUCUGUAAGGGUUGGAGCUGUUGUGCUUUUCUCUUGUCACAGGAGCUUGGAAUUUUUCCCUCCCAGGUUGGCUAACAAUGCAAUAUGCAGCUUUGUUUGUAGGGUAGUUAGACAUCAAACUCUCCUUUCUAUGUAAACAUAAACAUUGAGCUCGUGAAGAAAUAUGUUCCAAACGCUGACCUUCAUAAAGUGAGGUCUAAUUGGCUUCCAAGGAUUCCUUUUUAAAGGAUUUGUCUCCUAAAAAAACCUCAAUUGACUCGACUAGAUUCAGCAGAAGCAUACAAGCCUGCUCUUCUGUGGCCAAGGCUUUUGGAGACAUAUUUCUUUCCUUUUCCCCCACAAUUAAGUUUCAAGACUUGCAUUAGAUAGCCAGGUAGCUUUAAUUGAAAUCUCUAUUGGUAUCUUCAGUUGCUCACUUACGUGAAGGCUACAUUGCCUUAUUAAGGUGUGAAAUGAACACUCUUCUUCUGUUUCCAAGCAGAUGAGCAAAGAAAUAAAAAUAUAUAUAAAAUAUAUAAUAUAUAAAAGUAUUGCAGUGAUGAAACAAAACCAAAAAUGAGAUACUCUAAACAUGGUUAAUCUUUCAUAAAAGAGAAGUCUCUGAGCAAUUAACUAAUGCCAGUUGGAACAGGAAGUCAUAAGGAUUAAAAGACGAGCACCGUCAGUCAGUCAGCUGCAGUUACAGUUUGUAUUUAGAGGAACACUGGUACCAAUCUUUUGUCCACGAGAGCUUUUUGUAGUAAGAGCAGUUUGGAAGCUUUAGGAAGUAACUAUCACCAGAGAAGAACUGCUUAAAUUCGAAUUAGAAUGGAAGGUACUGUAAUGACUGCAAUCAAACAGUCAAUUUAGUUUCUCCAUUUACAAAUGUAACGAGCCAGCGAAGGCUAAAGUCGCUUUUCCUUACGUUUUAUUCUAGAUAUUUGAGAGAGUUAAUUUUAAAUGGGCAGAUGAAUUUAAGGUGUUAAAAGUGACGUCUAAAUUACGUAUGAGACAGGAUGGAAUGGGAAAUAAAAGAAUUUAAGUUUGUCUUAUUCGGUUGCUUACCCUUUUUGCUUUUGACCGCGUCGGUGUGUCGUGAACGUAGCGCGAGGGUGCAUCGGAUAGAAAGACUUCAACAUCAUCAGGCACUUCUUCAAGAAAGUUGGAAGGAACCAGCCCCUUUUGUCCGUUAAGUUCACCCUGCAACACCAUGAAAUGUUUUAAUUAAAGCAAGUGUAGGUUCCCAAGAAGGGAAGGAAAUACUUUUGCCUGUCGCAAAGCUGGUGAGGAAGAGGAAAUGCCCAUCUAAGCUUGCUAAGCCUGGCACCUCUCCCACUGGGCUCUGAACACCCCCAGGACUCCCUGUGGCCAACAAGCCAAGACACUCGGGCCUUGAACAACCUGAGCAAACUGUGAAGCUUUGAACUACACGACUUCAAAGGUACACACACAUAUGGCAUAACAGCCAUGUUAUGUACUGAGCUGUAUUAAAUAAAACCUACAGAGGAUAUUCCUUGAUUUUUUUUGGACAAGAACCGUAAAUCUACUUGUACAGAAGCCAUAAGCUUUGUCAUACACAUCUGCUCCAAACCAUUUGACUUGUGUUUGUAAUCCUGAACUAUUCCUUUGCACACCCACCCCAAAUGGAGAGCAGUGCCCCCCAGUCCUGACCGUGCUGGGUACCCACAGCCCCCGGUUCCGGCCGUACCUCUACAUCCACGUUAGGAGAACUUUCUCUUGGAUCAUAAUCAUACAGUGCCACCAUCCUUCUUGUAGUCACUGGCUGUUGUCUGCCACUCCUUCUGCUUCUCUCUGCUCCAGUCACAGGGGGAGGAAGGUGAGGAAAAGCUAUCAAAGUUAUUUUGAAAAUAAAACCACGAUGCACCUUUCCCUCCCGGCCUUUUCCCAGCAGUGCAGCAGCAACGUGAGUGUUUCUCCAGCACAGUGAUAAAAAGUUACCAAACCUAUUAGCACAGAUAAAGGAUGUGAAACCACAUGUGCUUCACAAAUAAUAUUUAACACUCAUCUGGCCACCUAUUCUAAGCCACUGAAUCCUCUGAACAGUUUUAGUUGCAAAACUAAAGCUCUGCAAUUUUCAUCUUUUUUUUUUUAAAUAAGAAAAGAAGGUAGCAAGUCGAGUGGUGAAGUUACAAAUCCCCAUCUGCAGCAAAAGAUAUCAGCAAGAUUAAGUAUCAGUUGUAUAAAGUCAUCCAGAUACCAACACAGAUUAUAUUCCAUGGGGUAGCAAAUGGCUGGAAAACUUAGAUGCAUCUGCAUAUAUUGCAAACAAGAGGUACAGCAGAUCCAGCCAAGUUAAGAGCACCUAAAAGUCAGGAAAAGUGAAAUGUUCAUAUUUUCCCUUACCAAUUUUCUCAAUUGGUGUGUUCAAAGGAAGAAAACCUUGUUUAAGAAGCUGAUCCAUCAUCUCUUCAUCAUCUGCUUGGAUCUCAGAGACCAUGUUACACGGGAUAAGGCCAAUUCUUGCACAGGUUUCUCCACGAUAAAAUCCAUCAGCAUCUUUGUCCCCAUAAACCUGUUAUUCAGAGAGUGACAACAUUGGUCAGCAAAGGUUUUAGCAUUUAGGAAUUUUAAUGCAGGCUAAGUGGUUACCAAAGCAGAGAUGAUGACUGCAGUUUGCAUGUGGAAUUAUAUUAGUUAUUGACUGCUCUGACUUAGGUUAUAAAAUUGGAAUUGUGACAUUUAUUUGAAUUAUAACUCCAGACAUAUAAUUUACAGAAUUUGAACUUUUUUUUGUCAGCAGUGAAACGCACAAAAAGUACCUUACAAAUCAUCAGUCUCUCCCUGUGCUGAGCCAGAAGUUUACUUGAUGGUUUACAUUGAUGUUUAUGGAAUUAUGCUGGAAUUAUAUUCAAAAUGAAACGUUUGCAAAAAUUGUGCCAAAAUGUUGUUGUUUUGAUUCAAACAACUUUUAUGUGAUCAAAAAUGCCUAUCUAAUACAUAAUGUACUUGAUAUAUGUACUUAAGCUUUGCUUUGUCUUUAGAGAAAACAUGGUAUAAAAAUAGCAUGGAUGUCCUCAGUGAGAGCAUAUAAAUCCAAAAUUUCUCUGCAGGGCUAAAAAUGCAGUCAAGUCAUAAAGGCUGCUAAUGAUACAAAGGCCUAGAUCUAGGACUGUGCUAAACAAAAAUUAUGUUCCUAAAGUCAAACUGAUGACUGAGUUCCACUCAAAUCUGAGCUCAUUAAAACUGACUGAUUGCCUCAACUUUGUAGCACAGGAAUAUUUUUCAGCUUUAAUCCCUACCUGUCCCUGAGUCACCUGGCCUCACUCCUGCACACAGGACAGAAGAUGAGACUGUAACACGUGUACAGGUUUCCUACAGCUCGUGGAACUGACCCUCCACCACCCCACUGCUCAGGGAAUGUACCAGAAACAUUUUGGAAAUGGAAACUAAUCCAUCCUCACAACAGUUUGAAAAGAAAUUCAAAGCAGCAGUUCACAGAGCAGUCACCAUGGUCACCAAAUAUAAAAUAAACAUCACUGACAGUAAAUAUCUGAUGUGGGGUCUCACUAGACUUUUCAGUGCCAAACAGGUAAAUAUUUGUGAAGAAAUAAUUACAAUAUCUCAGCGAAAUGCACAGCCUUGCAAAGGAAAAUAAGCUCUUAACAAGAUCAAUUUUUUUGGCACAAACCUUGUAUCAUGGGGAGAGGUAAACAAAAUACAGAACAGAGUAUUCAAUGUUACAAAAAUUGUGAUUUAGAGUACAAACAUUUUUGUUAAGACUCAACACAGUGGAAGGCAGUCAGGAUUUUAAUAGCUUAAGAUAGAAUUUAAUCUCUGAAAUGGGUAAUAUUCAAAUGAGUCUAUUUUUUUCAGGUUCUCUUUCAGAUCACACUUAAACCUCAAUCACCCUUGGACUACCAGCAGCUGCUCCUUCUGCCUCUCUCAUUUCUGCCUGUUUUGCUGCAGAUCAAAUGGAUGCAAGGCUGCAGGAGGAAACACUUACUUCUGCUGAUUCCACAGAAAUAUCUGCUGGCUUUUUAAAACCAGAUCAGCAAGCUGAACAAAUUUGCCUUGCAGCUGCACUGUCAGAAGAUGAGGCGAGCUGGGAUGGAGGGCUGGGAAAAAACCCUUCCAGAGCCCAACCCCUGACAGAGCCAAUUUGUCCUCCGUGCCCCGUUUAAAGGCAAUGUGUGUAUUUUACACCAAACUGACAGAAAAGGGAACAGAAAUACAUGACUUCUGGACUUGGAAUCAGUCUAAAUUGUUUAUUAUCUAGGAGUGCCCAGCAUUUAAAAAAUACAGCAGCUCUGCUUUGUAUGAAGGCACAACACUCAACGCUCCUGGGGGACCUUUGCAGCUCCUCUCUGGAGCAGUUUCUCCUGCAGGGUUUGUGGCAAUGGACACAGGGAGCUUCAGUCACAAUUACAGCCUUCACACUAAAUCUCUAAUUAAGUCUGGCCCUAACUAUCUACAGAAACUUUGAGAUUUUUCUCCACCUUGUAAUUAUUUUUAAGCCAUUAGUACUAGAUUCCAGAUCCAGCGAGAUUUACAGCCCCUGAACCUCUGGAGGAAAAAAACCCCUUGGAUUCCAGUCACACAAGGGACAAAGGAGACCCUGUUUGCAAAACUGGGUCCUUCAUUUCCCUUGUUUUCAGAUCUCACCUUUAUGAUCUGUCCUUCUUUAAAGGGCAGCUCCUCCUCUGCGGCGUCAGGAUUUGGGGACAUGGUCAGCGGAUCGUAGUCAAAGAGUGCAACAAAUAUUCGAGUGGAAAUAUCUUCUGUGCCAGGAUCUGUUUCGGAUUCUUCAUAAAGGUCUGGAGAAAGAUGGUCAUGACCACCGUAGCCAUCUGGGAAAUUAAAGUCAGAAAAGAACAAGUCAGUAAUGCAAGUUGGCCCCAUCUUUCGACUAUUCCAGUUAAUAUUUGAAACACGUUUGGCAUUUCAGGGAAAAAAAAAUCCCCAAACCUCAAUGCAUGUCCUAUAAAGCUUGGUGGGUUGGUCUUUUUUUUUUUUUAAUUAGCAAGCUGGUACUUUUUUAAAAAGCCUAUAAAAUCUGCAUGCACUGAAAAUGGUGUUAUCUCCUACCCCACACUGACAUUUACACUUGUGGAUACAGCUCAGGUAGGAAAGCCAUUUUUGUCAGAUUUACUAGAGUUUACCAUAAAUUAAUGGAGCAUGUUAGGAGUGACAUAACAAUGAGUUUGACAGGCUUUUUCAUUCCUGAAAAAAUAACCAUGCUUUGGAUCCACUUGUUUUCCAGCACAGCUGUCUCUGCUCUUCAUGGACACAAGAAAGCACAUCCCAGCUGUGUUGACAAACCAUGUUUUAGAUACCAGGUUAAAAAUAAAACAUGGUUAUAACCUCUCCAGACAGGGAAGAAAGGAAGGUAUUUCAGCAGUGUUAGUCCUGCCAGGGUUGGAGCUACACUCUUUAUGAUUUUGUUGUAACACUGUCAAUGGUUAACGUAGUGCCCAAACCAACCCAAACCACUAACAAAUGUGUUAAAAUCCAGGAGAAAUGAUGAUUGCAUGUAACUAUAAUCUCAUUAGGAAAGACUAUCCUUGAAUAUCCCAACACUUGACACUGCCCUGAACUCUGUCCACUGUAGGGUAACAGGUCAAUUAGGACAUUAAAAAUGAGAAUGAACAUUUUGUCUCAUAUACCUUUCAAACUUUUCAAAUGACCUGGAGAAUGUGUUUAGUCCAUGAUUUGCCAACAUACUUAAGGAUGGACUUCAGAAAACCAGAUUGGAAGAUUAGGUCUAAGUGGCUAACACUGACUGUUCUGACUGAUGGGUUUAAAAGGUUUUUAAUUUUGGGUUGAGAGAGGAUGUGGCAGCACUUUCCCAAAUAGUCUCUUUCAAGACACAUGAACUUGAAGUCCCAAAAAUUAAAGCCCUGAAAAUCACAAGCCACUUGUGAAUAUCUUGGCUUAUUGAAAAGUCCCUCUGGCUUCACUGGGAGUCACAUACUUUUGUUCUUUGCUGAAUCAACAUUCAUCAUCAAGUUUGCAAGAUCCUUCACAAUGAAUAAAUCGAGAAAGUGAUGUUAUGAAUUAUGAUGAAAAUGUAGUUCAACUGUAUCAAUUUUUUCCAAUUUUCAUGUUAAUAAAAUUUUUACUGUAAUCACCUCUUGCAAAUUAAAGACUCACAGUUUUUUUUAA